rnacentral:rRNA from 1 species
UACGUAGGGGGCUAGCGUUGUCCGGAUUUAUUGGGCGUAAAGAGCGUGUAGGCGGCCUGGCAAGUGACGGGUGAAAUCCCUCGGCUUAACCGAGGAACUGCCUGUCAUACUGCUGGGCUUGAGUCCGGGAGAGGAGAGUGGAAUUCCUGGUGUAGCGGUGAAAUGCGCAGAUAUCAGGAAGAACACCUAUGGCGAAGGCAGCUCUCUGGGACGGUACUGACGGCUGAGACGCGAAAGCGUGGGGAGCGAACAGG